rfam:Parcubacteria group bacterium CG1_02_44_31 cg1_0.2_scaffold_5048_c, whole genome shotgun sequence.
UGCGGGGUCGUCUAAUGGUAGGACAGCGGGCUUUGGACCCGUCAAUCUAAGUCCGAUUCUUAGCCCCGCAG